rnacentral:misc_RNA from 1 species
UAUUCUCAACCCCCUCCAGCUUUUGUAGUUGGGUUUGGGUGGCUUGGAUGUGGAGGUUUGCAGGCUUUUUCAAGGUCAGCUCCUCUAAAAUGCAUUAGCAGAACCGUUUGCAAUCUGUUAACCAGUGUGAUAAUUAUCUACACUAGUGGAUUGCUCAUUGCUUUGUUCAGCUUCUAACAGUUUCCUACUGAGGAGACAACCUUUAUGAAC